GACGAACGCUGGCGGCGUGCCUAAUACAUGCAAGUAGAACGCUGAAGGAGGAGCUUGCUUCUCUGGAUGAGUUGCGAACGGGUGAGUAACGCGUAGGUAACCUGCCUGGUAGUGGGGGAUAACUAUUGGAAGCGAUAGCUAAUACCGCAUAAUAGCAGUUGUUGCAUGAUAACUGUUUGAAAGGUGCAAUUGCACCGCUACCAGAUGGACCUGCGUUGUAUUAGCUAGUUGGUGGGGUAACGGCUCACCAAGGCGACGAUACAUAGCCGACCUGAGAGGGGGAUCGGCCACACUGGGACUGAGACACGGCCCAGACUCCUACGGGAGGCAGCAGUAGGGAAUCUUCGGCAAUGGACGGAAGUCUGACCGAGCAACGCCGCGUGAGUGAAGAAGGUUUUCGGAUCGUAAAGCUCUGUUGUAAGAGAAGAACGAGUGUGAGAGUGGAAAGUUCACACUGUGACGGUAUCUUACCAGAAAGGGACGGCUAACUACGUG
rnacentral:rRNA from 1 species